GGCCGGGUGGCGGAAUUGGUAGACGCCGCGGACUUAAAAUCCGCUGGAGGGUAACCUCCGUGAGGGUUCGAGUCCCUCCCCGGCCA
rnacentral:tRNA from 1 species